UACGUAUGGUGCAAGCGUUAUCCGGAUUUACUGGGUGUAAAGGGAGCGUAGACGGAGAAGCAAGUCUGGAGUGAAAGCCCGGGGCUCAACCCCGGGACUGCUUUGGAAACUGUUAUUCUUGAGUGCCGGAGAGGUAAGCGGAAUUCCUAGUGUAGCGGUGAAAUGCGUAGAUAUUAGGAGGAACAUCAGUGGCGAAGGCGGCUUACUGGACUGUAACUGACGUUGAGGCGCGAAAGCGUGGGGAGCAAACAGG
rnacentral:rRNA from 1 species